GGAUAACCUACCCUUAGGACUGGGAUAACCCUGGGAAACUGGGGCUAAUACCGGAUAGGCAAUUAUUCCUGCAAUGGUUUUUUGUUUAAAUGUUUUUUCGCCUAAGGAUGGGUCUGCGGCCGAUUAGGUAGUUGGUUAGGUAAUGGCUUACCAAGCCGUUGAUCGGUACGGGUUGUGAGAGCAAGAGCCCGGAGAUGGAACCUGAGACAAGGUUCCAGGCCCUACGGGGUGCAGCAGGCGCGAAACCUCCGCAAUGUGAGAAAUCGCGACGGGGGGAUCCCAAGUGCCAUUCUUAACGGGAUGGCUUUUCAUUAGUGUAAAGAGCUUUUGGAAUAAGAGCUGGGCAAGACCGGUGCCAGCCGCCGCGGUAACACCGGCAGCUCUAGUGGUAACAAUUUUUAUUGGGCCUAAAGCGUCCGUAGCCGGUUUAAUAAGUCUCUGGUGAAAUCCUGUAGCUUAACUGUGGGAAUUGCUGGAGAUACUAUUAGACUUGAGACCGGGAGAGGUUAGAGGUACUCCCAGGGUAGAGGUGAAAUUCUGUAAUCCUGGGAGGACCGCCUGUUGCGAAGGCGUCUAACUGGAACGGUUCUGACGGUGAGGGAGGAAAGUUAGGGGCGCGAACCGGAUUAGAUACCCGGGUAGUCCUAACUGUAAACGAUGCGGACUUGGUGUUGGGGUGGCUUUGAGCUGCUCCAGUGC
rnacentral:rRNA from 1 species